GACGUAGGGCGCGAGCGUUGUCCGGAUUUAUUGGGCGUAAAGAGCUCGUAGGCGGCUCGUUGCGUCGGCUGUGAAAACCCGCAGCUCAACUGUGGGCUUGCAGCUGAUACGGGCGGGCUGGAGUUCGGUAGGGGAGACUGGAAUUCCUGGUGUAGCGGUGAAAUGCGCAGAUAUCAGGAGGAACACCGAUGGCGAAGGCGGGUCUCUGGGCCACUACUGACGCUGAGAAGCGAAAGCAUGGGGAGCGAACAGG
rnacentral:rRNA from 1 species